rnacentral:lncRNA from 1 species
GCUAAGUUUGUGGUUAGAAAGAAGCUCACACAGUUUAUCAGUGUCAGAAAGACCAGAUAUAUCACGGAAUGUUACACAAAUAUUUUCAAACAGUUUGUUUCUUUUCUCUGUAUAUUUUGGACAGUGGAUCAAAAAGUGUAUUUCGUCCUCAACGGAGUUUGUAUCGCACAUUUUACAAGUUCUGCGUUCUACUGGAAUGUUUCUAACUCGUCCCUUUUCGAUUUCUAAAGGAAAUGUCCCACAACGCUUACGUGAAAUAGAAGAUCGCUGACUUCUAGUUAAGCAACGUUUUAGAAAA